GACUUAGUACCAUGAUUUUCUUGAAACCUAUCCUUGAACUUAAGGAUUUGAGAUGAGUGGAGAGUUUAUAUAGAGAUGAGUAAAGAGAUAGAAUAUGAGAUAGAGCAUGAGUUAAGGCUUUAUGAGUAUGGAUUUUAAAAGGAUUAAAAUGUUUUAAAUCAAUUCCUUUUUAAUGGAGUUUAAAAUGCUUAUUUAAGUCAUUUAUAAAUGAAUAAUGAGAAAUGCGUAAAGAAGUUCGUAAAUGAAUCGCGGCAUGAGAUUUUCAAAUUCCCUAGUAAACUAGGGAGAUAUUAUGAAGGAACAAACAAUGAACGAGACUCUCACCACCGAGUCACUACAACAAUUGGAGAAGGAAAAAAAUUCACGCACAAACAAGAUAUGUACACCACCUCAAGAUGGAGGUAAAGAAAAAGGAAAUGGAAGGAAAGCACUAGAACUAAACUUAAGGUAUAACCCAACCCCAAAGCUAGUAGGCUCAAGUUAAGAGAGUGAAUGCUUUGGCUAAAGUGCCAGAAGCUACAGCAAGAAUAAAGUUGGAACGCCACCACAAUAGAAACUUAGAAACCCCCAUUAAAUAAUCAUUUGAAAAUGAGAAAAUGAGUUUACAUGGCAGAAGGAGUGCCAUUAAUCUUUAAGUGAAAGUUACCAAGAUGAUGAGAAAAGUUUGAUAUUAGAAUUCCCUAGUCAAAUCUGAGAAGGUGACUUAGGACGAAGGAAACAAUUAAGGUAGUUCACCACUUUACUAAGAUGAAGUGGGUGAAAGAAUGUUGUUAGGUCCUGAACUGGUCCAACAGACGAUUGAGAAAGUCGACCACAUCAAGCAAAGAAUCAAAGAAACUCAAGAUAGACAAAAGUCUUACGCCGAUAAACGCCGAUUGGAAUUAGAAUUUAAUGUUGGGGAUCGAGUUUUCCUCAAAGUCUCUCCCUCAAAGGGAGUUAUACGUUUCGGAAAGAGGGGCAAGUUACGACCCCGUUAUAUAGGACCUUUUGAGAUCCUAAAUAAGUUAGGCCUUUGUAGCCUAUAAAUUGGCUCUGCCACCAAGCAUUGUGGAUGUAUACAAUACGUAUAGCAUCUCGCAAUUAAGAAAGCAUGUGAUUAAGCAAGAUAAAGUAGUCCUAGCCAGGACCUAAGUUGUGAAGAGAAAUCAGUCCAGAUACUUGAUCGCAAGAUUCAAGUUUUACGAGGCAAUAAUAUUGUUCUCGUCAUGUAGUGGAACCAUCACAGGAUGGAAAAUGCCACAAAGGAGAUGAAUGAAACGAAUGACAAGUAUCACAAGAUAGAACACCAGAUAUGCAAUUUCGAGGACGAAAUUUUAUAAGGAGGGAGGAAUGUAAUACCCCGUUUUCCUGAGUUAAAUUUAGAAUUUAUUUUGAACUUAAGAUUUAAGAUGAUUCACGCCGGAUUGAGAAAAAGAAUUUAUUUUAAUUCCAACAAAAAUAAUUUACAAAAACAUUUGUAAAUUUAGUUAUUAAAUUUAUAUGCAUUGCAUAUUUAUUUAAUUUAGCAAUCAAAGCAUUUUCACGAGCUUUUAUUUAAGCAAACACUGAAGAAUUAUUACAGUUUUCAUAGUACAACCUGGAAGACUUUUUAUUUUAUUUUAUCUUAUUUUAUUUUAUUUUUUUCCUACACCUACUCCCACCACUAACUCCUCUACUGCAGCACAUCACCAACUUCCCUACUGCAAUACACCCACUACACCUACUCCUUUACAGGCAAUCAAAUCAUUACAUAUCUUAGCAAAUCUUAUCCCAAAUUUUAGCAGAUCUUAUGCAGGAUCUUUACAGCUCCUUGCAGGAUCUUUACAGCUCCCCAAGACUCCUCUGUUGUUUCAAAGAUAUACAACAGCCAAGCUCUCUCUCACUUAUUCCACCAAAAUAUUUUCGUAAGGCCCCUUCACCAAAUUUCUCAACCUGCAGCAAGCUUCUUUCUACAGCAAUAAGAAUCUAAGUUCUUUUCCUUCUUGAUUGUGCAGUAACAACUCCCUAGCAAAGCAAAGAGCUUCAAAGGCUUUGAGCAUCAGAAGGAUUAGCACUGCUACUCCGAUUCAGAGAUAAGGUUAAACGACAGGCUUUGCCUAGACAGGUUGAGCAGUUGAUGGAAUGGAAUGAUGUUGAGCGGGUGUUCCUUUGACAUUUCAAGAAAUGUAACCUUGAGUAUACAUCUUCAUAUGUAUAUCUCACACGUUUUCCGCUGCAAAACACUUUGAUUAGGAUAACUCUAUGUUAUGAAGUUGUUACACGUGUUAUUGGGUAAACCACCUUAAUCAGUUCUCUUUUAUGUGUAUGUUUUAUAAGUAUCCAAAUGAUCAUAUAUGAUCCUAGCCUUUUUAUCUAUAAGUGAUAUUUUCAUAUACUUUAAUGUUAAGUAAUUGUCCAUUUC